AGAGUUUGAUCCUGGCUCAGGAUGAACGCUAGCGGCAGGCCUAAUACAUGCAAGUCGAACGGAGUGCAGCAGCAAUGUUGCACUUAGUGGCGCACGGGUGCGUAACGCGUAUGCAACCUACCUUUCACUGGGGGAUAGCCCGGGGAAACCCGGAUUAAUACCGCAUAAGAUAGUUUAGUGGCAUCACUGGACUCUUAAAUCUGAGGAGGUGGAAGAUGGGCAUGCGUCCGAUUAGCUAGUUGGUGAGGGUAGAGGCCCACCAAGGCUACGAUCGGUAGGGGACCUGAGAGGGCGAUCCCCCACACUGGUACUGAGAUACGGACCAGACUCCUACGGGAGGCAGCAGUAGGGAAUAUUGGGCAAUGGAGGAGACUCUGACCCAGCCAUGCCGCGUGCAGGAAGAAGGCGCUACGCGUUGUAAACUGCUUUUCUUGGGGAAGAAAAAGAGGAUGCGUCCUCCACUGACGGUACCCAAGGAAUCAGCACCGGCUAACUCCGUGCCAGCAGCCGCGGUAAUACGGAGGGUGCAAGCGUUGUCCGGAUUCAUUGGGUUUAAAGGGUGCGCAGGCGGGAAACUAAGUCGGGGGUGAAAGACGGUUGCUCAACAAUCGCAGUGCCUUCGAUACUGGUUUUCUUGGGUGAAGUUGAGGUAGGCGGAAUUCAAGGUGUAGCGGUGAAAUGCAUAGAUACCUUGAAGAACUCCGAUUGCGAAGGCAGCCUACUGGACUUUCACCGACGCUCAGGCACGAAAGCGUGGGGAUCAAACAGGAUUAGAUACCCCGGUAGUCC
rnacentral:rRNA from 1 species